CAACUGGUGGAUGGCUCGGCUUGAGAGCCGACGAAGGACGUGCCAAGCUGCGAAAAGCCUAUGGGAGCCGCACGGAGGCAAAGAACAUAGGAUCUCCGAAUGGGAAUCCCCACCGCAAUUGCUUCGCGCAAUGGGGAACGCCGAGAACUGAAACAUCUUAGUAUCGGCCGGAAAAGAAAGCAAAACCGCGAUGUCGUCAGUAACCGCGAGUGAACGCGACCCAGUCCAAACCGAAGCCCUCACGGGCAAUGUGGUGUACGGACUGACAAUCAGCAUCAGAACGUUUGAUCGAAGUCUCCUGGAACGGAGCGCGACACAGGGUGACAGCCCCGUAGACCAAACAAGUACGUUGUGCGUCAGCUCCAGAGUAGCGGGGGUUGGAUAUCCCUCGUGAACCACGCGGGCAUCGACCGCGAAGACUAAACACUCCUCAAGACCGAUAGCGAACAAGUAGCGUGAGCGAACGCUGAAAAGCACCCCACAAAGGGAGGUGCAAUAGGGCCUGAAAUCAGUUGGCGAUAGAGCGAUGGUGCAUACAAGGUCCACUACCAAACGACCCGGGCGCGAGCCCACAGUAGGACGUAGUGGAAGCCGGUGUGCCAUCGUGCGUUUUGAAAAACGAGCCAGGGAGUGCAUCUGUCUGACGAGUCUAACCUGCUUCUCGCAGGGAAGGCACAGGGAAACCGAUACGGCCGCAGUCUUACGACCAGGGCCACCGUGUUCAAGCGCGGGGAGUCAGCCGGAUGCGACCCGAAACCAGAUGAUCUACGCCUGGGCAAGGUGAAGCGUGCCGAAAGGCACGUGGAGGCCUGUUAGCGUUGGUGUCCUUCAAUACCCUCGCGUGACCUAGGUGUAGGGGUGAAAGGCCCAUCGAAUCUGGCAACAGCUGGUUCCAAUCGAAACAUGUCGAAGCAUGACCUCUGUCGAGGUAGCUCGUGGGGUAGAGCAACCGAUUGGGAGCGUCCACUUCGAGAGAAGUGGACCUCCCUGUCAAACUCCAAACCUACGGGCGCCGCUGACACAGGGAGUCCGGUGUGCGGGGUAAGCCUGUGCACCAUGAGGGAGACAACCCAGAGCCGGGUUAAGGUCCCCAAGUGUGGAUUAAGUGCGAUCGAAGGUGGUCUCAAGCCCUAGACAGCCGGGAGGUGAGCUUAGAAGCAGCUACCCUCUAAGAAAAGCGUAACAGCUUACCGGCCGAGGUUUGAGGCGCCCAAAAUGAUCGGGGCUCAAAUCCACCACCGAGACCUGGCCGCACCCCCCAUAGGGGUGAUCGAUUAGAUUGGCGCUCUGUAUGGGUGGAAGCACGGCCGAGAGGUCGUGUGGACCAUAUAGUGACGAAAAUCCUGGCCAUAGUAGCAGCGUUAGUCGGGUUAGACCCCCGACGGCCGAAAGAGCAAGGGUUCCUCGGCAAUGCCGUUCAGCCGAGGGUUAGCCGGCCCUAAGUCCCGCCGUAAUUCGACCGGGACGAAUCGGGAAACUGGUUAAUAUUCCAGUGCUCGUAUGCAGUGAACGCCGACGCCUUCGAGACAGUCGAGCUGGGCUUUCGCCCAGUCGAAUCCGGGAACUCCGUGGACGCCGUAAUGGCAGGAAGCGGACGAAACCAGAGAUAGCGUAAGUCGACCGUAUCAAGGGCCCGUGAAAAGGCAAGCAUACGAACCGUACCGAGAUCCGACACAGGUGCUCUAGCUGAGAAAGCUAAGGUCUGUCGGGAACAACCGACGUCAGGGAAUUCGGCAAAUUAGCCCCGUAAGUUCGCGAGAAGGGGUGCCUGCCUUGGAUAGAGGCAGGUCACAGUAACCAGGAAGCUCCGACUGUCUAGUAACAACAUAGGUGACCGCAAAUCCGCAAGGACUCGUACGGUCACUGAAUCCUGCCCAGUGCGGGUAUCUGAACACCCAGUACAAUGGGACGAAGGACCCGUUAACGGCGGGGGUAACUAUGACCCUCUUAAGGUAGCGUAGUACCUUGCCGCUUCAGUAGCGGCUUGCACGAAUGGAUCAACGAGAGCUUCGCUGUCCCGACGUUGGGCCCGGUGAACUGUACGUUCCAGUGCGGAGUCUGGAGUCCCCCAGGGGGAAGCGAAGACCCUAUAGAGCUUUACUGCAGGCUGUCGCUGAGACACGGUCGCUAGUGUGCAGCAUAGGUAGGAGGCGUUACACAGGUACCCGCGCUAGCGGGCCACCGAGCCAUCAGUGAAAUACUACCCACUAGUGACUGUGACUCUCACUCCGGGAGGAGGACACCGGUAGCCGGGCAGUUUGACUGGGGCGGUACACGCUUGAAAAGAUAUCGAGCGUGCCCCAAGAUCACCUCAAUCGCGUCGGAGACGCGAUGAAGAGCGCAAGAGCAUAAGGUGGUCUGACAGUGUCAUUCCCAACGAGUGACACUGACACGAGAGUGUGGUCUAGCGAACCAAUUUGCCUGCUUGAUGCGGGCCAUUGCUGACAGAAAAGCUACCUUAGGGAUAACAGAGUCGUCACGCGCAAGAGCACAUAUCGACCGCGUGGCUUGCUACCUCGAUGUCGGUUCCCUCCAUCCUGCCCGUGCAGAAGCGGGCAAGGGUGAGGUUGUUCGCCUAUUAAAGGAGGUCGUGAGCUGGGUUUAGACCGUCGUGAGACAGGUCGGCUGCUAUCUACUGGGGGUGUUAUGGAACCUGACGGGAACGCUCGUAUAGUACGAGAGGAACUACGAGUGGUGACCACUGGUGUACCGGUUGUCCGAGAGGGCAUGUGCCGGGCAGCUACGUCACACGGGGUAAGAGCUGAACGCAUCUAAGCUCGAAACCCACCUGGAAAAGAGGUUCCGCUUGAGAGUCCUCGUAGAAGACGAGGUAGAUAGACUCGGGGUGUACGCACCAAGGCAACGAGGUGUUGAGCCCGCGAGAACUAAUCACUCGAGC
rnacentral:rRNA from 1 species